rnacentral:rRNA from 1 species
UACGUAGGGUGCAAGCGUUGUCCGGACUUAUUGGGCGUAAAGAGCUCGUAGGUGGCCUGUCGCGUCGGCUGUGAAAACUCGGGGCUCAACUCCGAGCUUGCAGUCGAUACGGGCAGGCUAGAGUUCGGCAGGGGAGACUGGAAUUCCUGGUGUAGCGGUGAAAUGCGCAGAUAUCAGGAGGAACACCGGUGGCGAAGGCGGGUCUCUGGGCCGAUACUGACACUGAGGAGCGAAAGCGUGGGGAGCGAACAGG